AACUUCUGAAUGUGACCU
rnacentral:rRNA from 1 species